rnacentral:rRNA from 1 species
UGAGCAACCUGCCCUUGACUCUGGAAUAACAGUUGGAGACAGCUGCUAAUACCGGAUAUGACCUCCGAUGGCAUCAUCUGGAGGUGGAAAGCUCCGACGGUCAAGGAUGGGCUCGCGGCCUAUCAGCUUGUUGGUGAGGUAACGGCUCACCAAGGCUUCGACGGGUAGCCGGCUGAGAGGGCGACCCGGCCACACGUGGGACUGAGAUACGGCCCAGAUCCCGUAACGGGG